AGAGUUUGAUCCUGGCUCAGAUUGAACGCUGGCGGCAUGCUUUACACAUGCAAGUCGAACGCGGUUCGGGGGCAACCCCGGACUGAGUGGCGAACGGGUGAGUAAUGCAUCGGAACGUACCCCGUCGUGGGGGAUAACCAGUCGAAAGACUGGCUAAUACCGCAUACGACCUGAGGGUGAAAGCGGGGGACCGGAAGGCCUCGCACGAUGGGAGCGGCCGAUGCCGGAUUAGCUAGUAGGUAGGGUAAAGGCCUACCUAGGCGACGAUCCGUAGCUGGUCUGAGAGGAUGAUCAGCCACACUGGGACUGAGACACGGCCCAGACUCCUACGGGAGGCAGCAGUGGGGAAUUUUGGACAAUGGGGGCAACCCUGAUCCAGCCAUGCCGCGUGAGUGAAGAAGGCCUUCGGGUUGUAAAGCUCUUUCGGCCGGAACGAAAUCGCACGGGCCAAUACCUUGUGUGGAUGACGGUACCGAAGAAGAGC
rnacentral:rRNA from 1 species